UUCCGGUUGAUCCUGCCGGAGGCCAUUGCUAUCGGAGUCCGAUUUAGCCAUGCUAGUCGUGCGAGUUCAGACUCGCGGCACCGAGCUCAGUAACACGUGGCCAAACUACCCUACAGAGACGGAUACCCUCGGGAAACUGAGGUUAACCCGUCAUACCGAUCUCAGGCUUGAAUCGCAGAGAUCACAAAACGCCCCGGCGCUGUAGGAUGUGGCUGCGGUUGAUUAGGUAGACGGUGGGGUAACGGCCCACCGUGCCCAUAAUCAGUACAGGUUGUGAGAGCAAGAACCUGGAGACGGAAUCUGAGACAAGAUUCCGGGCCCUACGGGGCGCAUCAGGCGCGAAACCUUUACACUGCACGCCCGUGCGAUAAGGGGACUCCGAGUGCGAGGGCAUAUCGUCCUCGCUUUCGUGUACCGUAGGGUGGUACACCAACAAGGGCUGGGCAAGACCGGUGCCAGCCGCCGCGGUAAUACCGGCAGCCCGAGUGAUGGUCGAUCUUAUUGGGCCUAAAGCGUCCGUAGCUGGCUGCGU
rnacentral:rRNA from 1 species